CGCGGCGGGCGGGUGGCUGGGGCGGUGCAGACCAUAGCCAUACCCGGCCGGGCCCGGGCCGCAGCAGGCCUAUUGAUUGGGACUGCCUUUAACCCUUUCAUAUUUGCGGAGUUAAUCCAUCUGUGGCAGUAACUGAGCGUUGGCAAAAAGAAUAUUUCAGAGGUCAAGGUUCACAAAGAGUCCAUAAUGACUUCCAGUUGGCCAGUGUUGAUGUGUAG